rnacentral:misc_RNA from 1 species
UUUCCGUAGGUGAACCUGCGGAAGGAUCAUUAACACGAAACCCACGUUUCAAACCAACCUGUGCUCUGUUUAAAGUGGUAGAGUGUAACAACUCUAUUACUUUUUAAAAUUUUUAACCCCUUGUAUCAACAAAACUAAACCUUCAAAAGCUUGAGUGAAAACUCGCUUUAGAUAUUACGAAACUCAGAACAACUCUUAGCAACGGAUAUCUUGGUUCUC